UCGACCGUUCGUAUUGCAUUUUGAGAACUCAAAUACGCAUGCGUGACUCUACUAGAUAUUUCUAAGGCCUUCUGUUGCCUUUUUAUAAGGUUUUAAAUUUGACAAUUUAACAAUAUCAUAUGGCUUGACUUGUGAUGCAGUUAGUUGGAUAAAUAUUAAAGAGAUAUUUUUUUAUGACGGUAAUAUUUCAUGGGUGUGGAUUACAAGUAGAAUUUGCUUGAAUUUUUUUUACAGUUUUUCAAGAACCACUACUGUUCUUAUGCAAGAGAAAAUAUAAUCUAACCAAAAAUAACCAAGUACCUACUCCUAUAACGCAAAAAAAGAAAAAGAAAACAACUUUUAUGCAUACUCUGCAUACUAUAGUUCAAGAAGAUCCUGUAUUCAGAAAACGUCACAAAUUAACCGAAUAGUCGGUUAAUUUGUGACAAAUUAACCGCAAAUUGAUGAGAACUGUUAUCCGGUUUUUGAAACGGAUAACCGGCAAAAUCACUAGUGCAAAGCCAAGGUGGCGUGUGUGUUUUUCCACAGAAAAGAAAAAAGGUUGUUUUGCCAGAGACACCUGCAUUUGUUUCCCUUAUAAAAAAAGCUACUAAAAAAGAUUCCUUAUCGAAUGGAAAGUCUCCCAUUACUGAGGAAGAAUUUCAGAAGAAAGUUCUAAAUGCACUGGUAGAAAAGAAAGAGAUGUUAGUAAAGCUCUUUCCAGUAAUUAAAAUAAUAUCACGACAAAUAGUCCUGAUAUUUUAUGGAUGAAUUCGCAGCAGUCAUUUUCGUAAUUAUGAUGACAGUUUUAAUGAUUUUUGGAUAAGGUCUGAAGUUAGGUUAUUUCAAAUCAUGACUUUUUGCAACUUUUUUAUUGCUUUUUUGGGAUUAUGUAUUUGCUUAAGUUAAUCUACUUGUAACUUUU